rnacentral:lncRNA from 1 species
CCUGAUUGGAAAAAAAGAACCUGUAAUCCAAGUUAUAUAAAGAACACUCACAAAGUAAAAUAAGAAAACAGGCUGUGUCUCCCUCUUGAGCUUGCCCCCAUUCUCCUUUGAAUAUCUUUCUACUUUCCUAAAUAAAUCUGCCUAUGCCUUUAACUGAGGCGUGCUGUAAUUCUGUAAUUCUCUUCCCUGCUAGUCCUGAAUCAAGUUCCCACUUCUCUCUGGGGAACUACUUGGAUCCUUCUUGAGAGACAUCUCUUGUCUUGUGAGAGAAAAAUUCAGGACCACUCAGAUCAAGAUACAUGUCAGAGCUCCUGUAGCAUGGGACAAGCAUGCUUGGCAAAUAUUCAGCAAAGUUUUCAGAGGACAUCAUUCAAAGAUGGAGGAUGGGAAAUUCACAGGCAGUCACUUGUCAAACUCCACCAACAAUAAACACCAGGGGGUAGGGGGGCUACUGAACGAGUGUUCUUACAGGAACUAAUAUGAAAACCCUUCAUCUAGGUGGAGCUAUUAAAUAUUCCUCCUUCAGGAAUAAGCAUCUGACUCCUUAUGUUCAAGUUCCUUGAAGAGUUUUACACACACAUUGAACAAUGGGUGGCCAGUCACAUGCCAUGGAGCCAGGGUUCCCUAAAGAUUGUGAGAUGAACGAAACAGGGGGGAUUUGAGACAGACUCCCUCCAAAACUAAGAACAACUUCUUGAUAACUAGUUUCUCUGCAGGAUUGCAAACAGCCCCUUUUGAAAUUAAUGCUUCAAAUUGUUUUAACUUCUGAACUUCCUCUCACUGAGAAUAAAAUCUUCCUCCUGCUGAGGACAGAUGCCAAGGAAGUUGAGACUGACCAGUUCUCUGGCUGACUGAAUCCCAACAUGUAUAUUUCCUGCCUUUUGUUUCAUUUUUGCCCUCUCGUUUAAAAAAAAACUUUCCUCACCUUGAGUUCUCUGAGGGUAAUGAUUAGAGACAAAAGUCUAUAUCUUACUUCAAAGCUGGCUUUGAAUAAACCUAUUUUCCUGCCCCCCCCAAAGUUAUAAUAAAACAAACAACCCAAUGUAAAAAUGAAUAAGAGAUUGAACAUAUACUUCACCGAGAACGAUACAUAAAUAGCGAAUACCAUGGGCUCUCCAUUUCUGGUUUCUGCACCUGUGGAUUUCACCAACCUCAAACGGAAAAUACCUGAGGAAAAGUUUCAUCUGUACUGACUAUGUUCAGACUUUUUCCUUGACAUUAUUUCCAAAACAAUAAAGAGCAACAACUAUUUACCUGAUAUUUGCAUCUUAAUUGGUAUUGUAGGUACCCUCCAGAUGAUUUAGAGUACUUGGGAGUAUUAUGUAGGUUAGAUGCAAGUACUACGCCAUUUUGUAUGAGGUGCUUGAGCAUCCUUCGAUUUUAGUAUUCACAGGGGGAUCUUAGAAUCAAUCCCCUGAGGGAGGGCUAUCAGCCCAGGAGAGAAUGUUCAGCAUCAUUAUUUGCUAGAGAAAUGCCAUUAAAACUACAGUGAGGGCUGGGAACGUAGCUCAGUGGUACAGUGCAUGCCGUGCAUGCUUAGCAAGCACAAACCCUGGGGUUGAAUCCCCAGCACGGCCAAGAAACCAAAGAUAAAACACAACAGAAACUACAGUGAGGUACCACUACCUACCUAUGAGAACAUGUAGUAGAAUGGCUCAAAUAGCUAAUGAUACCAGGUGCUGGCGAGGCUGUGACAGAAUGCAAACUCUCCUGCUAGGAACAUGAAGUGGUACAGGCAUUUUGGAAAAGAGCUUGGCAGUUUCUUGAAAAUAAACUUACCAUCUAACCCAGCCAUUCCACUCUAGGGUAUUUUCCCAAGAGAAAUGAAAGCAUGUGUUUAUUCCAGGACCUGUACAUGAAUGUUCACAACACUUUUAUUUGUAUAAAACCAU